rnacentral:rRNA from 1 species
AUUGAACGCUGGCGGCAGGCCUAGCACAUGCAAGUCGAGCGGGGUUUUCGGACCUAGCGGCGGACGGGUGAGUAAUGCGUAGGAAGCUACCCGAUAGAGGGGGAUACCAGUUGGAAACGACUGUUAAUACCGCAUAAUGUCUACGGACCAAAGUGUGGGACCUUCGGGCCACAUGCUAUCGGAUGCGCCUACGUGGGAUUAGCUAGUUGGUGAGGGAAUGGCUCAUCAAGGCGACGAGCCCUAGCUGGGUUGAGAGGAUGAUCAGCCACACUGGAACUGAGACACGGUCCAGACUCCUACGGGAGGCAGCAGUGGGGGAUAUUGGACAAUGGGCGCAAGCCUGAUCCAGCCAUGCCGCGUGUGUGAAGAGGGCCUUCGGGUUGUAAAGCACUUUCAGUAGGGAGGAAGCGUUGUGUGUUAAUAGUACACAGCGUUGACGUUACCUACAGAAGAAGCACCGGCUAACUCUGUGCCAGCCGCCGCAGUAAGAC